GAAAUGCGAUAAGUAGUGUGAAUUGCAGAAUUCAGUGAAUCAUCGAAUCUUUGAACGCACAUUGCGCCCCUGGGUAUUCCAUGGGGCAUGCCUGUUCGAGCGUCAUUUGUACCCUCAAGCUCUGCUUGGUGUUGGGUGUUUGUCCCGUCUCCGCGCGUGGACUCGCCCCAAAGUGAUUGGCAGCCGGCGUACUGGUCCCGGAGCGCAGCACAUGUCGCGCAAACGAGUGCCUUGGUACGGCGGCGUCCAUAAGCCCCUCUCUCACGCUCUUGACCUCGGAUCAGGUAGGGAUACCCGCUGAACUUAAGC
rnacentral:misc_RNA from 1 species